rnacentral:rRNA from 1 species
GAUGAACGCUGGCGGCGUGCCUAAUACAUGCAAGUCGAGCGAACAGAUGAGGAGCUUGCUCCUCUGACGUUAGCGGUGGACGGGUGAGUAACACGUGGAUAACCUACCUAUAAGACUGGGAUAACUUCGGGAAACCGGAGCUAAUACCGGAUAAUAUAUUGAACCGCAUGGUUCAAUAGUGAAAGACGGUUUUGCUGUCACUUAUAGAUGGAUCCGCGCCGCAUUAGCUAGUUGGUAAGGUAACGGCUUACCAAGGCAACGAUGCGUAGCCGACCUGAGAGGGUGAUCGGCCACACUGGAACUGAGACACGGUCCAGACUCCUACGGGAGGCAGCAGUAGGGAAUCUUCCGCAAUGGGCGAAAGCCUGACGGAGCAACGCCGCGUGAGUGAUGAAGGUCUUCGGAUCGUAAAACUCUGUUAUUAGGGAAGAACAAAUGUGUAAGUAACUAUGCACGUCUUGACGGUACCUAAUCAGAAAGCCACGGCUAACUACGUG